GUAAAGGAGGAGCUGUGUAACACGCUAACUCAAAUGCUGCCCAACAACAGCUACAUGAUAUGUUGUCCCCAAUGUGCAGAGGUGGGCACAGGAUCUGCUUUGAAAAACACUCUUACUUCAUGUUCAAUAGCAACGGCAUGGGACCCAAUCUGCUCACGCUGUUCAUCAAUGGUGUAAUCUUCCUGUCAGUCCUCGUGUUAUUGGAAAGCAAGGCUGCCAAAAUGCUGAAGAGUACAUGGUGGCGGAUAGUGACUCGUUGCUCGCAGG